rnacentral:rRNA from 1 species
ACUGCUCAGUAACACGUGGACAACCUGCCCUUAGGUUGGGUAUAAACCCGGGAAACUGGGUAUAAUACCCGAUAGGUCUCGAUUGCUGGAAUGCAUCGAGAUUUAAAGCUCCGGCGCCUAAGGAUGGGUCUGCGGCCUAUCAGGUAGUAGUGGGUGUAGCGUACCUACUAGCCUACGACGGGUACGGGUUGUGAGAGCAAGAGCCCGGAGAUGGAUUCUGAGACACGAAUCCAGGCCCUACGGGGUGCAGCAGGCGCGAAAACUUUACAAUGCUGGCAACAGCGAUAAGGGAACCUCGAGUGCCAGGUUACAAAUCUGGCUGUCGAGAUGCCUAAAAAGCAUUUCAUAGCAAGGGCCGGGCAAGACCGGUGCCAGCCGCCGCGGUAACACCGGCGGCUCGAGUGGUAACCGUUAUUAUUGGGUCUAAAGGGUCUGUAGCCGGCCGGAUAAGUCUCUUGAGAAAUCUGGCAGCUUAACUGUCAGGCUUUCAGGAGAUACUGUCUGGUUCGAGGCCGGGAGAGGUGAGAGGUACUUCAGGGGUAGGGGUGAAAUCUUGUAAUCCUUGAAGGACCACCAGUGGCGAAGGCGUCUCACCAGAACGGACCUGACGGCAAGGGACGAAAGCUAGGGGCACGAACCGGAUUAGAUACCCGGGUAGUCCUAGCCGUAAACGAUACUCGCUAGGUGUCGGCCACGGUGCGACCGUUGUCGGUGCCGUAGGGAAGCCGUGAAGCGAGCCACCUGGGAAGUACGGCCGCAAGGCUGAAACUUAAAGGAAUUGGCGGGGGAGCAC